rnacentral:rRNA from 1 species
GACGAACCGUGCGAACGUUGUUCGGAAUCACUGGGCUUAAAGGGCGCGUAGGCGGGUUCGCAAGUCUGUGGUGAAAGCCCCCAGCUCAACUGGGGAAGUGCCGUGGAUACUGCAAGUCUGGAGGAGGGUAGGGGCAUCUGGAACGCUGGGUGGAGCGGUGAAAUGCGUUGAUAUCCAGCGGAACUCCGGUGGCGAAGGCGAGGUGCUGGACCCUUUCUGACGCUGAGUGCGCGAAAGCCAGGGGAGCAAACGGG